AGACCCAUGUCAGCACUGGUGUAAAAGGAAGUUUCGGCUACCUUGAUCCGGAAUAUUUUCGGAGGCAGCAGCUUACAGAUAAGUCAGAUGUUUACUCAUUUGGAGUUGUUCUUUUCGAAGUCUUAUGUGCUAGACCUGCCAUUGAUCCUCUGCUUUCACGGGAGCAGGUGAAUUUGGCCGAAUGGGCUAUGCAGUGGCAGAAGGACGGACAACUUGAGCAGCUUCGGCUACCUUGAUCCAGAAUAUUUUCGGAGGCGGCAGCUUACAGAUAAGUCAGAUGUUUACUCAUUUGGAGUUGUUCUUUUCGAAGUCUUAUGUGCUAGACCUGCCAUUGAUCCUCUGCUUUCAAGGGAGCAAGUGAAUUUGGCCGAAUGGGCUAUGCUGUGGCAGAAGGAUGGACAACUAGAGCAAAUUGUUGAUCCCCGUAUCAGAGCUGAGAUAAAGCUAAGCUGUUUGAAGAAGUUUGGG
rnacentral:lncRNA from 1 species